UACGUAGGGUGCGAGCGUUGUCCGGAAUUAUUGGGCGUAAAGAGCUCGUAGGCGGUGUGUCACGUCGGCCGUGAAAACCUGCAGCUUAACUGUGGGCGUGCGGUCGAUACGGGCAUCACUGGAGUUCGGCAGGGGAGACUGGAAUUCCUGGUGUAGCGGUGAAAUGCGCAGAUAUCGGGAGGAAUACCGAUGGCGAAGGCAACUGCCUGGGCCUGAACUGACACUGUGACUCGAAAGCGUGGGUAGCAAACAGG
rnacentral:rRNA from 1 species